rnacentral:sRNA from 1 species
CUCCUUGCUUUUUUCGCUUUCGUUGUAUGAAGCUGAUAGAGGAUUUCUAGGAUGAGUUUAUUGGAAUAUCUCUUUAAAAACAACAGUUAUAAGAGAGUUUAUCGGGCAUGCCAAUUUUAUCAGUUUUAAGACGGAUAGAAAUACACCAAAAACAAGUGUUUCGUUUCCAUCUUAUAAUGACGAGAUAGUGCUAUCGUUGCAUAAUUUUCUCCAGUAUCGUGCAAAGAUUUUAUCAAAAGGCAUCAGUUCAUCGCGGUAUGGGUCUUCUAUUUUAUCAGACGAGAAGCCAAUACUGGAACAAUAUAAUCAGAGGUGAACUGUUCCGAGAUUUGGCGAGAUUUGGCGAGAAGUGGCAUCAAUAUUUGAUGGUGGUCCUGACACAUUAGACGAUCUAACCUCCGAAAACAUUGCAGUUUAAUCACUUCCUUUCCUCAGGCAUAGCCCAUUAUCCUUCUUUGUGCAUGUUGUAUCAAAUAUAUACUGCACAUAUCAUGAUAUGAUACGGCAUGGCAAUCAAAUGGAAAGUCCUGAAUUCCCAAAAUGUUACAAUCACACAUGUAUAAGCAUGCAAUACAGGAUUGUGGAGUAUAAAUUCUUUAUGACAGAUUAGGGUAAUUCGGACAGCCUACAUGUAUGAUAAUGUUUUGACACGCAAAAAUGAUUUAUUUUGUUUCUUUGUUCUCCUUUAAAUGUGUACUUCUGGAACAAUAUUGAUUAGCCAUCAAUAACGAGAUAAUCUGUCGAAUUUAGACAGUUCUAUGAAGCACGAACUGUUUUACUUUUCCUGUGAACAUUGGAAUUAUAAGCAAGGAACCGAAAUGAUGUUCAGAAAAGACCAUGAUGCCUGGACAGCGAUCUUGUCAUUACGGAUUUGAAGACUGCCACAAGUGCGGGGAAUAACGUCUGAAAAUGAGCUCUGCCACCUGCAGACGUUUCUCAGUGCGCGAGAUUCCCUCGCACAUGGUUAAAUAGUCCUAAUGGAGUCCAUGCGGCCCCUAAAUACACGUAAAUGUCAGAAGAUAGGACAAAACAAGACGAAACAGAGGCAUUUGGGUCCCCGCCCCUCUCUGAGUCAUCAGAGAAAAGUUACAAUAUUUAUCAUCGAUUUCAGCCAUUAUAUCAUUAUAAAUCAGUAAACGUCGGACUUCAUUCGCUUGAUUCAAGUCAAUUGGGAUCAAUUCAUCGAGUUAUCGAAAACAUAUUUUACGUUGCGCUGAAAGAUUAUACUGAAUUAUAAUGAUGUCUUAAAGACUAAAUACUUGCAAGAAGGACUGAAGGAUGUAUACAUGUACUCAAGUUAUGCAAAGCAUAGCCCUAAAUAACGUAUUGUUGCAAAAAUUUGAUUGCAUGUGCAAAUUUUAUUUUGCUAACUUAUGCACUAACCUAAAUGUAUUUUGAAUUUAAUUGAACAUGCGGUUACCAAUUAAUUUGUUAAAGGUACUUUUAUCCAACAAAACACGAGAAUAUAUACAUACAUGUAUGUUAUACGACUUUG